UGACAGAUUGAUAGCUCUUUCUUGAUUUGGUGGUUGGUGGUGCAUGGCCGUUCUUAGUUGGUGGAGCGAUUUGUCUGGUUAAUUCCGAUAACGAACGAGACUCCAGCCUGCUAAUUAGGGCAUUUGUCCACUGUGCCAGCCAAGCGGCGCUGUGUCAGCUGCUUGGGUUCAGUGUGGGAAUUCAACAUUGCGUCUGUGAGUUAGCACACAUAGCUGUAUAUUGUACUGCCUGUAUUGUAGUUACGGCUAUAGUAUAUGGUGUGUGCGAUGUGUGGUUGUGUGAUCGCUGAUAUGCAGUCGUAAUGACCUACAUGUAGUACCCGGUGGAUGGCACGACGUUAGCUAGCAGGUGCGGCGCAAAUGCCUACUUCUUAGAGGGACACGCGGGAGAAGCCGCACGAAAUAGAGCAAUAACAGGUCUGUGAUGCCCUUAGAUGUCCGGGGCCGCACGCGCGCUACAAUGGCGGUGUCAACGAGUCAGACCUUCUGGCCUGAAAAGGCUGGGUAAACUGGUCAAUCACCGUCAUGACAGGGAUCGGGGCUUGGAAUUAUUCCCCGUGAACGAGGAAUUCCUAGUAAGUGCAAGUCAUAAGCUUGCGCUGAUUACGUCCCUGCCCUUUGUACACACCGCCCGUCGCUACUACCGAUUGAAUGGUUUAGUAAGGUCCUUGGAUUGGCGCCAUCUUGGUCCGCGCCGAAAGG
rnacentral:rRNA from 1 species